CAAUGUGCUUUGGACAGGUUGUUUAAUCUUUGAGCUUCAAAGGUUUUCUCACACAUAAAAGGAGAUAAUAAAAAUGCAUUCGACAAAUAUUUAUUAAUUUCUACUAUUUGCCAUGCACUGUUCUAGGCCCUGGGAAUAUAUUACCGAAAAAAAAUACAAAAAUAUAUGCCUUUAUGGAGUUUAUGUGUGAACAGAUACCUAACGAAUGGGUUUGUUGGCAGAUGCAAAAAGAUAAUUAUGCAUAAAUUGCUUGUCUACUAUGAACUUUUAUGGAAAUUGUAGGUCUUAUUUCUUUCUGACAUAGAAAAAUCUAGAGAAGAACAGUAUGGUUCAAACGUCAUACAACACCUUAGUGAUCAUUCUAACACUCCUGUUCAGUCUGAAUCAUAAUUCUUAUUUUCUCUUUUUUUUUUUCAAGAGGAUUUGUGGAAUUUGAUGAUAAUCAAGGAAAGCAUUCAUCAAAGUGACAUCCUCAGGACACACCUUUGUGGCUCCUGGACAAUCCAAGAGCAGCCAAAUCCUGCUUUUCCAGUUCUGCUUCACAAGUCCUCCAGGACAGAGCAACUCCCAGCGAGUUCUCAGGAUUCAGGCUCUUGCUUCAACCAAACAAAACUCAUUUUGAACACUCCUACUGCAUUUUUGCUUCUAGAAAGUUAGAAUAAAUGUGAGCUUUGGGAUCACAUAGUUGAUGGAGA